rnacentral:rRNA from 1 species
CAUCACUACGCUAGAUGCAUAUCAAUAAGCGGAGGAAAAGAAACUAACAAGGAUUCCCUUAGUAACGGCGAGUGAAGCGGGAAGAGCUCAAAUUUGAAAUUUUCAAGGUUUUACCUUGACGAAUUGUAGUUUAAAGAAGUGUUUUCUGUUGGAGUUUUGGUAAAAGUUCUUUGGAAUAGGACAUCAUAGAGGGUGAGAAUCCCGUAUUUGACCAUUAUUUCCAGCUGUGUGAUACACUUUCAAAGAGUCGGAUUGUUUGGGAAUGCAGUCCAAAAUGGGCUGGUAAAUUUCAUCUAAAGCUAAAUAUUGGCGAGAGACCGAUAGCGAACAAGUACCGUGAGGGAAAGAUGAAAAGAACUUUGAAAAGAGAGUUAAACAGUACGUGAAAUUGUCAAAAGGGAAGCGUUUGACAGCAGUGUUGUUUAGUUGAAAAUCAAUUCAAUAAUGGUUGGAUUUGUAGUAGUAUUGACUUCAUCAGCUUUCUGCACUUUCUUUCAUAUUAUUUAAUGCACUUUUCAGUUAACAAGUCAACAUCAAUUUCUUUUGUUGUAAAAGGGUAAGAGGAAGGUGGCUUGCGCUUCGGCGUAAGUGUUUAUAGCCUUUUAUCCUCUGCAAUCGGAGAGAUCGAGGAUCUGCAGCGUAGACUCUUCGGGGUUAGAUACACUUGUGCUAAGCUAUAGCCUUGUAUAGACAACUCGUUGACUAUGCUCAGUCAUGUAGCUUACUCGCUUGAUGCUAUUUUACCUACGCUUAGGAUGUUGACACACGCGCGUGCUCG